UUGGAGGGCAAGUCUGGUGCCAGCAGCCGCGGUAAUUCCAGCUCCAAUAGCGUAUAUUAAAGUUGUUGCAGUUAAAAAAGCUCGUAGUUGAACCUUGGGCCUGGCUGGCCGGUCCGCCUCACCGCGUGUACUGGUCCGGCCGGGCCUUUCCUUCUGGGGAACCUCAUGCCCUUCACUGGGCGUGUUGGGGAACCAGGACUUUUACUUUGAAAAAAUUAGAGUGUUCAAAGCAGGCCUUUGCUCGAAUACAUUAGCAUGGAAUAAUAGAAUAGGACGUGUGGUU
rnacentral:rRNA from 1 species